CCUACGGGAGGCUGCAGUGGGGAAUAUUGCACAAUGGGCGCAAGCCUGAUGCAGCGACGCCGCGUGGGGGAUGACGGCCUUCGGGUUGUAAACCUCUUUCAGUAGGGACGAAGCGCAAGUGACGGUACCUAUAGAAGAAGCACCGGCCAACUACGUGCCAGCAGCCGCGGUAAUACGUAGGGUGCGAGCGUUGUCCGGAAUUACUGGGCGUAAAGAGCUCGUAGGUGGUUUGUCGCGUUGUUCGUGAAAACUCACAGCUUAACUGUGGGCGUGCGGGCGAUACGGGCAGACUAGAGUACGGCAGGGGAGACUGGAAUUCCUGGUGUAGCGGUGGAAUGCGCAGAUAUCAGGAGGAACACCGGUGGCGAAGGCGGGUCUCUGGGCAGUAACUGACGCUGAGGAGCGAAAGCGUGGGGAGCGAACAGGAUUAGAUACCCUAGUAGUC
rnacentral:rRNA from 1 species